GUUAGAAUAAGCUUUAUGUCAUUUUUGAAAAUGAAAACUGAGUUAACAAUUGAAUCUGUCGACAAUACAUGAUUUGAAUGAAGAAUUGAAUGCACUCUUUUGUAUAAUCAGUUUGUGGUUUUACACUAAUCGAUCAAUGGAAUCGUUGCUGGAAUGAGGAAUCUUCGAAUUAAGAAUCGAAGGUAUUCUUUAAUUGAUAAUCAGGUCUUCCAAUCUCGAAACUGUCUCAGUAACAUAUUAUGGUCUGCCUCAUCUCUAGCAAGAGUGGUGUGCCAUGUAGUGGUGUGCUCAUCCUCCAGUCCUUCCGUUGUCAUAUCCAAUGGUAUGUUUUUAUUUUCAUUUGGAGUAGCCUCCUUAAAUCACACUGCUGGUAUGUUUCUUUCUUUGUUCUUCUCCAUCAGGAUUUGUAUUGUACCUGCACGAAGUACUAAACUGUUAUAUUAACUAACACAAUAUAUAGAGGAAAAAAGAAUAACACAAAUUUCAUAGAGAGGUUUUGUAAGAUCUUACCUAAGGAGGCGAGUUUUUAUGUUGUACUGCUGCUGAAUGAGAUGUUUAUAUAGUUUUUUUUUUUUAGGGUUUUGUUUUUAUGGAUUUAGGGUAAUUGUAUUCCUAUUAUAUUCAUAGUUAUCUUAAAUAUAUACUUAUCAUAUUUAAAAUCAUACUUAUCAUAUUAAAAUCGAUAUAAUAGCAAAUAUAUUGAUUUGCUGAAAUCUAUAACUGAUAAUUUUCAAAUUAGUUGGUUGGAGUCAUAUGCUAUGGUUUAGCAGUUUGAAUUUGAGCAAACAUGCAUUAUAUGUCAAUUGUAUUUGAACAGUAGUAUUUCAUGAAAGAUAGCUCUCUGAAAGCCUUAAAUAAUCUGAGUUAAUUUGUAAUUUGAACCCCAAAUAUUCAACAAAAUCAAAAAUAAGGAUCAAAUGAUCUCAUUAAUUUAAGAAAGUUUGAAAUAUCUCUUCAACCACAAUAUUUUGUGUAUACCCGUCGGGUUCUUUCCCAUUCUUCUUGAUUAAUAUUUUUAAGCCUUGUCUUCUAGUGGUUCUUGAAAUCGCCACAUAAAGUUGACCAUGCGAAAAUAUAGGUUCUUCCAAGUAAACCCCUACAUUUGGUAGGCUCCGUCCCUGACUCUUAUUUAUUGUCAUGGCAUAGAAAAUUCUUACUGGAAAUUGCCUUCUAUGUAGAAUAAAUGGUAAACUUGUCUCAGGUGUAGUCAUAAGUAUCUUUGGUAUGAAUACUGUAUUUCCAGUUCCCAGACAUGUGAGUAUUUCAGCUUCAAUGACUGUUUCUCCUAAUUGGGUGACAAUUAACCUUGUUCCACUGCAUAGCCCAUCAAUGUUGCUAAGAUUCCGCAUAAGCAUAAUUGGUACUCCAACCUUUAGAGUUAAUUUGUGGCUUGCCAUCCCAGAUUCCUCAUGCUUGUUGAGGAAUUAUUUGUCGUAGAAAACAACACUUGAGUGAAAUUCUGAUGAUUCUGGUCCAAUCGAAUCUGCACUUAAAUACGUAUGCUCUUUUCCUGACAUACAUGAUACAAUAUGUGAAUAAUGAUAUAUAAAUGCAGAUAGAAUAAUAGAUUGAUCUGAUGAGUUAAACAGGAACAUUCCUUACCUGGUACAGAUGAUAAGACAUGUGUAUUUAUCUUGUGAACACACUCAUUUGUGGGCGCCAGUAUACUCCGUUCAGCAAGAUAUAAUUGAAUCAAUAUAUGCUGCAGAUCUUGGCUUAUCAUUAGGUUGAAGCCACAACAAUAUAUGAGCAUGAGGAAACAUUUUGAUAGCUUCUGCAAUUUCCGGCCAAUUUGGAUUACAUGUGAACGUAAUAAAUAAUUCAGGGGGACCCAACUCUCUGCAUAAGGCUAUUGCAUCUUGGUAAUACUGAAUCAUAUAUCUUGGUCCACCUGUGAAAGAUGAUGGUAAGAUUACUCGACCUGCGCUACCGGGUUUAGUGUCUCCAGCCCUUACGGCUUCUUUUAUGCCGUUGUAUAAGUCACAACGUAUUUCUUUUUGAUGGCAUUUAACCCACUGCAAUCUGCUUUGCUCAAUUGUAGCAUAAGCAUCAACCACAUACUGCUGGUAUAGUCGUCCUCCCCGGAGAAGGGUUUGACAUUCACCUGCUCUUUGUUGUAAUCUGAAUGCAUAGUAUUCCCUCAUAGUUAUGUUUUUUCUCUUCUUUCCAUUGCCUAUUUCAUCAUCUAUUUCGUCGUCGCGUACCAUUUUAAUUUGAUUUUCAUAUGGAAUAUCAAUAUGAAAACCAUCUUCACCAUAAGGAAAUAACAGUGGAUACUGCAAUGCCAUAUAACUUGGAUGCAACUCGGAUAUAUCUAUCAGUAAACCAUUUUUUAGCUGAAUGACUAUGUCCCUUUUUCCAUCUGAAUCGGGAUCAUCAACUACAAUCCCAGCAAUUUCAGAUGUAGUUGGAAGAUUGUAUUGCCUCGCAUCCCUUUUUCGUUUACCAAUAAGACGGAAUUCAACAUCGCUUAGUUCAUCUUGUUUGUACCUAUCCCUCCACAUUCUGAAUUUUUGGCUUAGACAGUUGUGUGUGUCCAGCAUUGUAACUAAGCCAGCAACAGUAUUUUCAUUCAAUUCCCUUGUGCUUUUCUUUCCAUAUUCGUCUAUGCCCAUCAUUGAAGAUUUAGCGCCUGAAUUUCCAUCCUGUUUUUCACCUUCUUUCUUCUUGGUAAUAGCAUUCAUCCUAUUUUUGACUUCAUUUUCAGUGUCUAUAAUGUACAAUUGUAAAAAUGUAGGUGGCCUACCAUCUAGUGGCAACAAAGACCCCAUGAAGUGAUGAUUAAGCCCAUACAUUGUAAAUACCCAUGGCGUUGAACAAUUGUUCUGUUCUUUGGACACUUUGGCACCCUGUGAGGUAAAUGCAAACAUUGAAUUAUAUGCCCUGAUGUUCAGUCUGAAAUUUGAUGCUUGCGGCCCACCAUCUACAUAUUGCAUUAGAUUUUUUAGAAAUUCAGGUGCCUCCUUAAGCAGAGGUAAUUUGACAGCUCCUUUCCCACAACAAAUGGCAAAUUCUGGUGGUUGUUUCUUUUGGCUUUUAUUGACUCUUUCCUCAUCCCACAUCAUUGCUUGACAAUGAGGGCAUGUUGCAGUUGGUCCUCCAAUAUAAUGCUUCUCGGAUGGCAUCACUGGUUAACAUAGACAAUCAGAAAGGAUGGAAUUCUAGGUUUUAAAGCAUGCUUGAGAUGAUGUUUGCGAGAACUAAUUUGCUGUCUCCUAAAUCAUCCAGCAGCAGCUGUGGGGUUUUCUGGUUUCGUUGGCUGGUUAUUGAAAGCAUGAUUGCGUGUAUUGUUUGUUGGUUGGUUAUUAUGUUGUAUCCUGAUAGUCCUCAAAUGGAGAUAAAAUGUCUUGGUAAGUAGAAUGUAAAGCCUUAAGCUUCUGGAUUGCAGGAUUGUUCUCUGGAUUGGAAGCAUAUCAUUAGUUGUUUGAAGUCUGGACGAUCUCAUCUGCACAUAGAACUCCUUCUUCAGUAAAAGAUAAAGCCUUUGUCCCCUGGCCAGUUGUUUUUCUUUUCUUUGUAUCAUCAUUAUCUCAUGAACAAAGCAUAUCUUAGGGUUUUUUCUGUGUUUUUUUUUGUUUUGUGAGCGAAACACAAAAUUGGUUCUUAGUGUUUGUUAUGUGUUUUUUUUUGGUUUUA